UGGGGAAUAUUGGGCAAUGGGCGAAAGCCUGACCCAGCAACGCCGCGUGAAGGAAGAAGGCCUUCGGGUUGUAAACUUCUUUUAAGAGGGACGAAGGACGUGACGGUACCUCUUGAAUAAGCCACGGCUAACUACGUGCCAGCAGCCGCGGUAAUACGUAGGUGGCGAGCGUUAUCCGGAUUUACUGGGUGUAAAGGGCGCGUAGGCGGGAAUGCAAGUCAGAUGUGAAAUCUAGGGGCUUAACCCCUAAACUGCAUUUGAAACUGUAUUUCUUGAGUGUCGGAGAGGUUGACGGAAUUCCUAGUGUGGCGGUGAAAU
rnacentral:rRNA from 1 species